CCCCUCCUCUCACUCCCUCCCUUCCUCCCUUUCUUCAAAACAUCAUAUUGUUCCUUCUCUUAAACCCCACUUCUUCCCUCCUAUUUGUCCUUCUCCAUGUCUCUUCCUGUCGCUCCCUAUGGGCUGGGAAGGAAGUGAAGGAAAGCGAGAAGGAAGGAAGGCGGUGGGAGGGUAGGCGGGAAGGGAGAGAGGGAGGAGGAUCUGUGUAGUGGAGGAUGACAAAAAUGAUUCACGGGUUGAGGAACUUGCCAUAAUUAUGAGGAUAGACUUAAAGAUUUGAAUUGAAGGUUGCGAGGAGACUUGAUCGAAGCUUAUAAAUCAGUGAAGGGCUUUAAUAAGGGGGAUGUUAUUAAUGUUCUGGUGGUAAGAGAGCCGGGGAGGACACGUAUUAAUGGUUUCAAGCUAUAGAAAUUCUGCUUGAACAAAGAUACAGGCAAGAAUUUGUUUACCAAUAUGGCGGUGGAUGAGUGGAACAGGCUUGGCAGUCAUAUUGUGAGUGCCGAUACGAUAGAUACAUUCAGGAAGAGGUUAGAUAAAUUCUUGGGUAGUGAAAUUAGGUGGGGUUAGGCUUACAGGAGCAGCCUUGUAAAGACCUACCCGCCUCCUCCAGACUCUUAUGCUUUUUAUAUUUCUUGAAACUUACAUCGGUAGCGUACGGAAAAUAACGUGGUAAAGUUCCGCUUGUGUACAGUUUACUGGCGUUUCACAUAGCUUACGGGCGUAUCGUUUCGCAUAGGUUACGGACGUAUUGUUUCGCAUAGGUUACGGGGGUAUCGUUUCGCAUAGGUUACGGGGGUAUCGUUUCGCAUAGGUUACGGGGGUAUCGUUUCGCAUAGGUUACGGGGGUAUCGUUUCGCAUAGGUUACGGGGGUAUCGUUUCGCAUAGGUUACGGACGUAUUGUUUCGCAUAGGUUACGGACGUAUUGUUUCGCAUAGGUUACGGACGUAUUGUUUCGCAUAGGUUACGGGGGUAUCGUUUCGCAUAGGUUACGGACGUAUUGUUUCGCAUAGGUUACGGGGGUAUCGUUUCGCAUAGGUUACGGGGGUAUCGUUUCGCAUAGGUUACGGACGUAUCGUUUCGCAUAGGUUACGGGCGUAUCGUUUCGCAUAGGUUACGGGCGUAUCGUUUCGCAUAGGUUACGGGCGUAUCGUUUCGCAUAGGUUACGGGCGUAUCGUUUCGCAUAGGUUACGGGCGUAUCGUUUCGCAUAGGUUACGGACGUAUUGUUUCGCAUAGGUUACGGGGGUAUCGUUUCGCAUAGGUUACGGGCGUAUUGUUUCGCAUAGGUUACGGGCGUAUCGUUUCGCAUAGGUUACGGACGUAUUGUUUCGCAUAGGUUACGGGGGUAUCGUUUCGCAUAGGUUACGGGCAUAUCGUUUCGCAUAGUGUACCGGUUUCGUCUUGUUCACGGGCGUGCUGUGUGCGGGCGUGUAAUCAGCGGGCACACAGUUCGGGAUGCCUCGGGGCCGGGGUCGAGGAGGAGGCGGCCUCUUCGGCGAAGGUGUCGCCGGCUGCCCUUCUGCUGGGCCAGGGCCGGCAGCCGCCUCAACUUCGAGCCCCGCGCCAGAGGCAUCCUCGCCCGCCUCAAGGGUUUUGUUGAAAACUCUGGAGGCGAGACGAAUAUUAUAAUCGAUGAAUAAAGCGGUGACAGCCGCUGACGCAGUGUUUGUGAGUUUUGGGAUGGAAGUGAAGGAUGGCGCGGAGGGAGGGAAACUUGCCGCCGAGGGCCCUCAAGUUCCUGCCUGUCCCUGCACUUAGCACGGCGGGUUUCCACGCACCAAUUCUCUUCUUGCAAUGGUUGCCUGUGUUUGGUUGGUUAUAAUAUAACUAAUAGAACUUAUAUUAUUAGUUCAUGGACAGAAUGAACAGAGUCCUGUCAAGAUGGUGGAUUGACAGGCUCAUUAAAUACCUCCACCAGGCGCGUUGAUUGUUGUGGCUGCAGCCUGUGUCGCGACCCUUCCCUUUGUUCACUCACGUUACCGAAGAGAUUGGGGAAAUGGGCAAGGCUUAUAAAAGGCAUGGUAGAAGUAAGGAAGGAAGAAAGGAAGGUA